rnacentral:rRNA from 1 species
AUUGAACGCUGGCGGCAGGCCUAACACAUGCAAGUCGAACGAGUGGCGGACGGGUGAGUAAUGUCUGGGAAACUGCCUGAUGGAGGGGGAUAACUACUGGAAACGGUAGCUACUACCGCAUACCAUCAGAUGUGCCCAGAUGGGAUUAGCUUGUUGGUGGGGUAACGGCGCACCAAGGCGACGAUCCCUAGCUGGUCUGAGAGGAUGACCAGCCACACGGGAACGGAGAAACGGGCCAGACGCCUACGGGAGGCAGCAGUGGGGAAUAUUGAACAAUGGGCGCAAGCCUGAUGCAGACAUGCCGCGUGUAUGAAGAAGGCCUGCGGGUUGUAAAGUACUUUCAGCGGGGAGGCGUUACCCGAAGAAGAAGCGCCGGCUAACUCCGUGCCAGCAGCCGCGGUAAUAC